rnacentral:rRNA from 1 species
AACGAACGCUGGCGGCAGGCUUAACACAUGCAAGUCGAGCGCCCCGCAAGGGGAGCGGCAGACGGGUGAGUAACGCGUGGGAAUCUACCCUGAACUACGGAACAGCUCCGGGAAACUGGAAUUAAUACCGUAUGUGUCCUGAGGGACAAAGGUUUACCGGUUCAGGAUGAGCCCGCGUUGGAUUAGCUAGUUGGUGGGGUAACGGCCUACCAAGGCGACGAUCCAUAGCUGGUCUGAGAGGAUGAUCAGCCACAUUGGGACUGAGACACGGCCCAAACUCCUACGGGAGGCAGCAGUGGGGAAUAUUGGACAAUGGGCGCAAGCCUGAUCCAGCCAUGCCGCGUGAGUGAUGAAGGUCUUAGGAUUGUAAAGCUCUUUCGCUGGGGACGAUAAUGACGGUACCCGGAGAAGAAGCCCCGGCUAACUUCGUGCCAGCCGCCGCAGUAACAC